GGAAAAAGCAGCCGGGCUGCCACCACAACAGGGCCCUUUCUUUCCGUACCUGCCCACCAGAUGUCUUCCCACAUGGCAGAGUCUUCUUGCUCAUUCCAGCAGCUGUUUCUAAUUAGUUAUUAGCUCCUGUAUGUCCCUCUGUGAGUUCUUUAGCUGCUACAACUUUUAGAAAGUCUGUACUUUUCUGGUAGCAACCUUUCAUCACAUCACUCAAACUUUUCACUGUUUGUUCUGCUCUGUCUCUUCCUCUAGACAAAAGACAUGUUCAGUUACUAGCAAGACUCACUCAAUGCACAAGCGCAUUCAGUGUCUUCAUUUAUCUUAAUGAGGAUUGUGGCACAAUGUCGGUGGGGCAUCAUCCACACACUUUAGAGAGCGAGAGGUGUCAAGGCGGAGACAAGAGUCUUGCUGCUAAUAGAACGGGCUUGAGGUGCAUGCCUACAGCCUUGCAACCUCACAAAAGCAGAGACCACAGAGUAACACCCUUUACAUCACAACUAAUAGUCAGCAGGCUCAUUUACUCCAUUCCAACAAAUUAUCCAGGUACUUGGGGUAGCAUGUACAUAAUGCAGUCAGGAUUUCAAUUUCAUAUUGUUUUUGAUUGAGAAAUGACAGGAAGAGAGGCAGACAAGGCACCAAAAAAAACAUGAAAAGAACUGAAAAAAGUACCUGACAUGAAAAAUAUUCAGACAACCUGAUUAGAAUCUGUGAAACCACCACACCACUAAGCUCUCCAGGUCAAAACUAUUGGUUUUCUAAGUAUGGUCCACUCUACUGAGAGACAUGCUAGAUCAAUUUGUCGUUGCAUCAACACGUUACUCCAUUUACCUUGCUGCUCAUAAGAUAUACCACAGGGCAUUAAGGGACGAUAUGAUUUAUGAGUUUACCUGGUAAACUCAUCUAACACAUACACAUUUUCCUUAAUUUGUGGGUGGUUGUAUAUGACAUGAAUGAUAUCUUGAGCUGAAUACCUUUAUACCUAACACACAAUUUGAUCAAUUAUUUAAACGCUGCAAUAUGUUUUCCCACUGGUCUGUGGUGAGAGAUACUCCUUGCUUUCUUUCCAACUGUGAUGUUAUAUUUAUGCUGUGAUGCUAUAUUUUAUCUUAUAAAAAGUGUAUGACGAGAGUUUGUAAAGUUUGGAAACUUUUGCCACUCACAGCCUCUUGACGGCAUGACACCCCUUAUAUUCCAUUUAUUUUCAAGUCAUUAAAUUCAUUUAUAUUCCCAUCAGAAAGCAACUGACAAAAUUUUGUAAAAUUGUUCUGCUGCAAAACCCCUUUCCAACUGUAAAAGUAAAGGGUUCUUCCAAAUUGGACGUGAAAGGCAAGGAUAAGCCAGCAAUAGAAAGACGUCUAAGAAGUUCUUUAGCUAUGUCAUAUGAAUGGACAAUCAGAAAUACUUUAUUGAUCCCAGAGGGGAAAUUGUUGUGUUACAGUUGCUCACAUUGAUAAUCAAGACAUAAAGAAAUGGUAAAAAAGAAAACAUAAAAAUAUACAUCUAAAAAUAUAAAUGUGGUGUGGAAAUAUGGACAAUAUGUAUGUAUGUAAAUAUGAAUCUCUUGUACAUUAUUCUACAGUAUGUGACAGAAAUGUAAUAAAUAAAUAGUAGGCUGGUAAUAAUAAGUACUGACAA